AAUAAAAGAAUGAUUGAUCUUAAUUGUAUCAUUAAUUUAUUUCAAUACUUUGACUUUAUUGUUUCAUGGUUGUGGUAUUAGAAAGAUUGGAAUGGAGCUGGGACACACAAAUUAGAGCAACAAGUCCAUGAGAGAAGAGGGUGGUUAUGAGGUGAUUAAGAAGGCCAUUGAAAAGCUUGGAUUGAGACACAGAGCACAUUGCAGCAUAUGGAAAAGGUAAUGAGAGACUAACCGGAAGACAUGAAAUUGCAGACAUCAAUACCUUCUCUUGGGGUGUGGCAAACCAUGGAAGCUCAGUUAGAGUUGGAAGAGACACAGAAACAAGGGAAAGGUUACUUUGAGGACGGAAGGCCUGCUUCUAACAUGGAUCCUUAUGUUGUCACCUCCAUGAUUGCAUAGACCACCAUCCUCUGAAAACCAUGAGCACAUGUUUAGACCACUCAAAGUUGUGUUUUCAACACCAUUUGAUCCACAAUUUAGUUAUGUCUCAAGGAUUUGUUGUUUUCUGAGGUCUUUUAAGCCUCACUGUGUCCUCUGUAU
rnacentral:sRNA from 1 species